rnacentral:tRNA from 1 species
GGAGCGGUGUCCGAGUGGCCGAAGGAGAUGGUUUCGAAAACCAUUGAGCCCGCGAGGGCUCCGGGGGUUCGAAUCCCCCCUGCUCCG